AAAUAUGAAAAUGAGUGAAGAACAAAGAGAAGGGAAACAUGGUAAAUUAACCUUGAAAAAUAUUUUUUAUAAUAGUAUCUUUAAUUUUAUAGCACUUUUCAUCUAAAAAACCAGGGAUAAUUUCACUUCCGACUGAAAUAUAACAACCCCAGGAGGAAAGCUUGGCAGUUGCCUAAUAGCACACAGCUACACUUCAGAACAGUUUAAGAAAGGAAGUGAAGAAGAACAUGAUAUCUAGUUGAACAUGCAGAGAGAAUUUAGAAAUACAGUAACCUGCAGGGGAGAGGCAGCAGCAGUGAGCAGCUGUUCUACACAAUACUUUAGGACAUGGUGUGAAGAAGAAUACCCGAAUUCAAAUGAAACUACAGGUUGAUUUUAGGAAGGAGAACAUAACAUAGCUUCUAAGGAGCUUGCAUGCACUUCUGACAGGAAGGACUCCUUCGGUGUGUGACUGCCUGAAGCAACAUAUGGAUGUCUUCCAGGGGCCCUCUUCUCAUGCCCAUGCCAAACUCCAAGAAGGGAUGCUGCACAAUUCGGCUUCCUGUUCUGCCUCAUGUGUCACCUGCAGAGGCCUCAUCUGGGGGUGCUUCUUAGUUUCUCGGCUGAAACUGCUGAUGGUGUGACGUGAGCGCAGGUGGACAGAAAUGAGACCACCAACUCGUUUCAUACAGACUACCAAACAAAUCGCCAUCAUAUGACAAUUUUUGAUCACCACCCAUCUUGGACCUGAUCCAAAGUAGUGACGUAAAGAUGAAAGCUUCUAUAUCCCAAUACAAAUCCUCUAAGCCAUUCAAGUCCCUCUAAAUCUCUGACUGUUUGUUAGCUGAAGACUUUUAGUCUGAAUAUAUAGCAUGGGUGGCAUAAAAUGCUCUUCUAAAGUGCACUGAUGUCCUUUUUAUUUUGGAUGCUUAAUCUAUUUCCUUUUUACCUUACAUACAAUUAUUUUUAUUGUACAUCUGUCCUGUGGGAGGACAGCUGUUUCAUAACAUUUUAGUUUUAUUCAACAAGUUGCCUGUUUAAUUAAUUUGCUAGAUCUAACGACUAUGAGCUGUUAUUGCAGUUUGUUGUAUUUAUAAAUGACAAUUUUAU